GACGGGCGGUGCUGCCCUCUCGUGUCGCUUCCCGGCGGUGCCUGUCCCCACCCUCCGCCGGCGCUGGCCCGGCUGGGGCCGCGAUGGCUGAGCGUGGAACGGCCCGCGGGGCCCGCUCAGUGCUGUCCCGUACGUGUCUCUGUCCUCGUCCCUCCCCGAACACGUGUGCUUCGGAUCACUUUUUUUCUCCUCCUGAAAUUCUCCAAAUCUACCCAAAAUCUAAUAAUUUUAGAAAUUCCAAAAUAAGUGGCAGCGUGCAUCUCUCGGGUUUUAACAUCUGUUCCACAGCUGAUAUAAACUUGCUGUAACUCUGAGCUCGGGGGCGCUCGGAGCUCUUGCGCCUCUCGUCCUGUUCCGUGACGAAGCUGCAGCAUUCACUGUGCAACACGUGGUUGUUCCAGAACGCGACGGCAGGGGGAGAACUUACACUGGUUUUGGGGACCGUCGCUAGUUUGUGACUGUAGGCUGUCACGGAGGCAAGCCAAGAGCAUUUGCAAACAAUGAAGUUCUGCAAAUUAAGAGGUGGAAAAAAUAUAAGCCAUCGUGAAAUUUCAUACCUUGGUAUACCAAGAUGAAGAUUUUAUAUAUCUUGAGUACUAGAGUCGUGUUUAAUGUUUAAUGUUGAUGUUGCUUAAUGCUUACUCUUGCCUUAGUUACUUACUAGAGAUUUAUCACACAGCUUCAGAAUAAAAGCAACCAAAAAACCCUCCAAAAUAAAUCUGCAUUCGUUUUUGGACUGUGUCCUUUCUGUUACAGGAUUUCAUUAGCGAGAGCUGUUUUUUGUGCAGCAAGACAGAACUUGGUGUCAAUUUACAGGACUU